GACACUUCUCCGUGUCGGUGCCACAUAUGGAAAUAGUGCAGAGGCUGCAUUUUUAGCCGCCACGACUGCAAUUUGAAGAGAAAAAGAGAGAUUCAUUAACUUCUACAGCUCUGGAGACAUUACUAAAACUGCCAGUGGACUACUCCUGACCCACCUCUGAUGUCCAACCCUUCCACGUCGCACGAGAUCCCAGCUGGUGCUUGCACUUGCUGUACAAGGACCAUCGCCGGGAGGACGGUCGCGGCCGGGUGAGGCCACCGCAGGAAAGAGAUGCUACCGUUCCUCGCCGAAGGAGAAGCCCAGGCAAUAUUGCUCAUGUCCAAAGGCACAACCAGAAGGGGAACAUGACCUGCCUUAAACUCCCAUUUACAGACAAGCACACCUGUUUCUAAACGGUGCACCCUGGACUUGAUGCUCACAGCCACCUGAAAGGGUGCAAAAUGCUCGGUCAAAACCCUGCAGUCUCUAAGCAGUAUCUUUUUUUUUUU